rnacentral:rRNA from 1 species
CUACGUGCCAGCAGCCGCGGUAAUACGUAGGGUGCGAGCGUUAAUCGGAAUUACUGGGCGUAAAGCGAGCGCAGACGGUUACUUAAGCAGGAUGUGAAAUCCCCGGGCUCAACCUGGGAACUGCGUUCUGAACUGGGUGACUAGAGUGUGUCAGAGGGAGGUAGAAUUCCACGUGUAGCAGUGAAAUGCGUAGAGAUGUGGAGGAAUACCGAAGGCGAAGGCAGCCCCUUGGGAAUGUACUGACGCUCAUGUGCGAAAGCGUGGGGAGCAAACAGGAUUAGAUACCCUGGUAGUCCACGCUGUAAACGCUGUCGAUUUGGGGAUUGGGCUUAAAGCUUGGUGCCCGUAGCUAACGUGAUAAAUCGACCGCCUGGGGAGUACGGCCGCAAGGUUAAAACUCAAAUGAAUUGACGGGGGCCCGCACAAGCGGUGGAGCAUGUGGUUUAAUUCGAUGCAACGCGAAGAACCUUACCAGGUCUUGACAUCCCUCUGACCGCUCUAGAGAUAGAGUUUUC